rnacentral:rRNA from 1 species
UACGAAGGGGGCUAGCGUUGCUCGGAAUCACUGGGCUUAAAGGGCGCGUAGGCGGGCGAUCAAGUCCGGGGUGAAAUCUUUCGGCUUAACCGGAAAAGGGCCUUGGAUACUGAUCGUCUCGAGGGUGGCAGGGGCAUGUGGAACUUCCGGUGGAGCGGUGAAAUGCGUUGAUAUCGGAAGGAACGCCGGUGGCGAAAGCGACGUGCUGGACCACUUCUGACGCUGAGGCGCGAAAGCCAGGGGAGCAAACGGG